UACGGGGGGGGCAAGCGUUGUUCGGAAUUACUGGGCGUAAAGGGCUCGUAGGUGGCCAACUAAGUCGGACGUGAAAUCCCUCGGCUUAACCGGGGAACUGCGUCUGAUACUGGAUGGCUUGAGUUUGGGAGAGGGAUGCGGAAUUCCAGGUGUAGCGGUGAAAUGCGUAGAUAUCUGGAGGAACACCGGUGGCGAAGGCGGCAUCCUGGACCAACACUGACACUGAGGAGCGAAAGCCAGGGGAGCAAACGGG
rnacentral:rRNA from 1 species